AUGGGUCCGGUCGACGGGAGAGGGGAGGGCGGAGUGGCUGCAAGCAAGAUCAUUCGGGCGAUCAAGGAGGCAGGAGAUAUCGGCCAGCAGAAGGCGGGCCUGUACCUGGCGGUGCUGCUCAACUGCCUGGUCUGGCUGUUGUAUGGCUUCGUCACAGACAAGGAUGCCUGGCUGGUGAUCCUCAUCAACGCCGUCGGCGUCUGCUUCCAGCUCUACUACCUCUACGUGUUCAUCCGCGCGUCUACCGACCGCUUCACCAUCUCAUGCACUGUCCUGUUACUGUUCCUGAUCGUCGCCUCCGGUGCCGGUAUCAUGUUCCAGAGCUUUCCCACCAAUGCCGAGAGGAAGACGGUCUUGGGCAGGGUCGGCAUUGUCACUGGCUGCAUCAUGUAUUUGGGGAGUGCAAGACAGCUGGUAUUGGUGGCAGCGAUCUGUGACAACAAUGUGCUGGAGGUUAUGGAGCUGAGGGUGAUGCUGGCCGCACUCGCCAACGGGAUCUUCUGGACCAUCUACACCGGCAUCAUCCAGGACUUGUACAUGGGGUUUCCCAACUGGGUUGGCAUUGUGUCCGCGGCCAUCCAGCUGGGCGUGUACAACAACCGCUAUGGGCAAGGCGCGGCCGCGCUGGCCGGCCAAGAGGAGUGA
rnacentral:rRNA from 1 species